GAUUACUCCUACGGGAGGCAGCAGUGGGGAAUUUUGGACAAUGGGCGAAAGCCUGAUCCAGCCAUUCCGCGUGAGUGAAGAAGGCCUUCGGGUUGUAAAGCUCUUUCGCAAGGGAAGAAAACUUAUGAUCGAAUAAAUCAUGAGGUUGACGGUACCUUGAUAAGAAGCACCGGCUAACUACGUGCCAGCAGCCGCGGUAA
rnacentral:rRNA from 1 species